rnacentral:tRNA from 1 species
GCCUGGGUGGCUCAGUUGAUUAAGCGUCUGACUUCGGCUCAGGUCAUGAUCUCAGGUUUCGUGGGUUUGAGUCCCUCCUCGGGCU